CACACACACACACACACACACACACACACACACACACACACACACACAGACACAGAUAUUUUUGGUUUUAUGUGCUGAAGUUUUGAGAAAAUGAUCUAAACUUUGCAAUCAGCACUACACCUGACUAUCUCUCACUGCCAGCUAUCCCAUCGUGCUGCUCACCAGGGAUUCACCGGUUCUUAUAGAGAGUGAACUGGAGGUGGCGGCACUGCCCAGCUCGAUGUGUUCUGUGUUUCUACCCUUAAGAGUUGAUCUUAAAGUACUAGUUUGACAUUUUGGAAAAUAAAUGAAACGAGAUACAAUGUGUUAAUUAGUGAGCUUUAGGGGUGUUGGUCAGUGGAUUUUCUUACCUUUGGGCAGAGCCAGGCUAGCUGUUUCUCUGUUUCCAGUCUUUAGCCAAGCCAAUAAGUGUUAUGGUUUUGGAUUUAGUUAGUCAUUUCCUGUUUUAUUUUGUAAUACUCACCUCUCCUCAUGUGUUUUAUACUUUACUUCCUGUCUUUCUUUAGUUUCCUGCCUGUUUUCUGUAUCACUUGUGUUGCAUCAGUAAAUCAGUCUCUUGUGUAUUUAGUCCAUGUGCCUUCCCUCUGUCACUUGUCAGGUCAUCUGCGUUUGCUCUGCCAGUUCUGCGUUUUAUCCUCAGUCUUUUUUCCAGUGCCUCGUGUUCUCCCUGUGUUUCCCUUUUGUUCUUGGAUUCCCUGUGGAUUUACCUUUGUUGGACUUCUUUUAUUCUUUGUUGGACUUUUUCAUGGAUUACUCUUUGUUAAAGUCUUAACUGGAUUUCUUAGCUACCCUUAGUUGUUUUGUGUUCCUCCCCAACCUGAUCCAGUCGCUCUGGUUGAGGAAAUUUAGGUGGUGGGUUGGACUUGGUGGACACAGUAAACAUCCUGACGGCUCUGCUGGGCUUCCUGCUGAGACCUGGAGUGCUGAAUACUGAGAGGUUCCUGCAACAUCAGGGCUUGUCAUAGGUGUUGACUCCAGUGAAGCUCUGGCUCCUAGUGAUAGCUCUGGAGGUGAGGCGUCUGACUGGGUGAACGGAUAGCGACAUGGUGGAGAGAGUUCGGGAUGGACUCCCUGUACAGAGCAGAGGAGAAGAACCAUCAACAGAAUGCUGACACCACAGGAUGACGAACUGAUCAACUUGUCACGCUGUCAUCCAUCUUACACACAUCUGAUGAAACAGACACUCCAUUCCCACCUGGUAUUAGUGUGACGGCCCCUGCCUAACUAUUGAGAUGGUGGAGUGUUUUGCCAGUUACUGUUUUCUUAUGUGUCCUUAAAGGUACCACAGGAAUGCAGCUGCGGCAAACAGCCUGAUUCAGAGCACCUGUACCUUGCGCUCCCAGGAAAUAAAAGUCCAGCUUCAGCGCUGCUCUGGCUCUCUCUCUCUUACAGUCUCAUCCCAGCUCACAGCCAGUUUCUACACACUUUUGCCUUUGGCUUUGUUUUGCUUUUGCUUCCCAAUACCUUACACUAUUAUGCUCACCCAUCCACAUCUACAUCACUGAUGUUACUGAAUGACACACUCCAUAUUUGUAUUUAUUUCUUUAGUAGGGCACUUUAUCUCAAUAAAUAUCUUUAUUUUAUCAUCACCCUUCAUAUCCAUUUGUGUAUUUGUCAUGACCUAGGAGCCGGGUUAUGACAUUAGCAUACUGGAUAUCUUUUUUAAGAUUCAUUUUGAGGAAUUUUUGCCAUAAUUUGAUAGUCUGACAGUAGAGACAUAAAGGACACAUGGGAAGAGAGUAUGAGGGGUGCCAUGCAACAAAGGUGCCAGUCGGAAUCAAACCUGGGACACUGCAAUUAUCUGGACAUCUUAUCUGGAUCAGAAAAAAGCAUGUUGAUGCAGGUAUAAUUUUAUUUGUGUGAAAUCCUUAAUAUUCCCAGUAGCAAAUUAAGGUGAAAUUAACAACAAUAUAAUAGUUUUAUAACAAAUAUAUAAAUAGUGAUUUGACUGAAGUUGACUGAAAUGGAAACAAACAGAAAACCAAACUGGAGCAGGAAAGAAGUUCUGCUGCUGGUAGAAGAGCACAUCAGAGAAAUCAAAAGGAGUAACACAUUGACAAGUGCAGACAGUGAAGAUGUAUAAAAAGUGGGAAAAAAUACAAAGAAAGUGCUGUAACAUCCAAUCAAAUGCAAAUAGAGAGCUAAAACUACCAAAUUCUGAAGCAAUACAGCUGCUUCAGCUGUAUUUUUUUUAACCCGACAAUGAUAUUUCAUACAAUUAUUCCAAAACAUGUGUCAGAAGGUGUGUGUCACCUCUCUGUCUCUUUACUGCACCUCUGGAGCUCUCUUACAUUUAGAAGCAUUUUUAAGUCAUAAAAAAAUGUGAUAAAUUGCUUUUAUUCUUAGGUUUGUGAGUAGGGGUAAAAGUUAAAUAUUUUUACCUUUAUCUUUCAAUUGCAAAUUUUAACUUUUAGCACAGGCCCAGAUCUCAGCAAAGCAACCUGUACAGUGUGAUCACAUUCAUAUGAAAAAAAAUCUGCACAAAAACUUUUUUAAUUUGUUUUAAUUUUUUAUAAAUAUAACAUUUAUUACUUUUUUUAUUAAAUUAUUAGCCUUGU